UAAGAUAGCAGUCACUCUAUGUAUGUAUGACUUUUGGGAAAAUCCCCCUUACAAUAAUCAGAUAUCCACCACAAUCAGUAUCCAUAUCAGGAGAUCUCAGAAAUCAAUGGCAGCUUUGUUACAUCGAAAUGAUAAUAUAAAACAGAGGGGAAAAACAAUAAGAAAAGAAUGAGAUAUUGAUACAAAAUGAAGUAGAUAUAUAAAAUAACCAAGUCUAAACUAGAAGCUUAUUGUGUUUUUUCUCUCGGCAGGGGCAACACACUGCCAUAAUGAUUGACAAGGUGGAA
rnacentral:misc_RNA from 1 species